rnacentral:snRNA from 1 species
UUGCUUCUGCAGCACAUAUAUUAAAAUUGGAAUGAUACAGAGAAGACUAGCAUGGCCCCUGUGCAAGGAUGACACACAAAUUCAUGAAGCAUUCCAUAUUUUA